rnacentral:rRNA from 1 species
CCAGUGUCUAUAUGCUUGUUUCAAAGACUAAGCCAUGCAUGUCUAAGUACAGCUCGGUGGAGCAAUCUACCGGGCGAAACCGCGGACGGCUCAUUAAAUCAGUCGUGGUCUAAAUGGGCUAAAGUUUCCUUUUGGAUAACUGUGGAAAAUCCAGAGCUAAUACAUGCAUUUUUCGAGUCCUGAGCCAAAGCCGGUUAGUUGUCUCGAUGAUUAUCUGGCGAGUAACUCGGGAUGCUUUUAUUAGACCGAGGCGCGCGCAUACUCGGUUUAGCCUUUUGAUAUCUUUGAUUUUGAUUGGCGGCCGUUUGUGUGUCGUUCUGUAAGCGCUACAUGGUGAACCCUGGAUAACACUUGAUGAGCGUGCCUUUACGGCACGCCGCCUUCUUACGAGUGACUGCCCUAUCAGCUAGUAACGUAUGUUAUACGCGAACGCUGGCUAUAACGGGUAACGGGGAAUCAGAGUUCGAUUCCGGAGAGGCAGCCUGAGAAACGGCUACCACGUCUAAGGACGGCAGCAGGCACGCAAAUUACCCAAUCCCAGCACAUGGGGGAGGUAGUGACGAUACUUACUGAUGCGGGUCGUUCUUCGGAACAUUCGCAAUCGGAAUGGCUAUUUUCUAAACACCCUAUCGAGAACCUACUGGAGGGCAAGCCUGGUGCCAGCAGCCGCGGUAAUUCCAGCUCCAGUGGCGUAUGCCAAUGUUGCUGCGGUUAAAAGGCUCGCAGUUGAAUGUCAGUUAUAAUACGCGAUGAGAUGCCGGGACGUUGUUCGUGUGUUUGGCCUCGUGUCUCGCACGUUCCGUCCCCUGAGCGCAUUUCUCGCAAUCUAACAAUAAUUACAGAGCCCGUCGCGGAUGUGCAUAAGUAUCUUUUGCUCACGCAUUAGAUGCGUACUUUCGUGAUAGCUCUGUAGUUGACACCUUGAGUAAAUCAGAGUGCUUAACGCAGUCGUUUAAAUACCGGCUACUCGUUUGCGAUUCGCUCGUGAGCAGGUUUGCCAGUGGCGGAUUUAUCCGUUUAGACAUUGUCUUUGCUUUGCAUGGUACGUCGAAAGACGCCGUGUAAGUUGGUCGCGCUUACGGUUAGACACACGCUUUUGUGUGCGCGUGCACCAACGAGCACGGAAUGAUAUGAAAGGGAUGGUUCGAAGGCAUUGGUAUUGCCGGGCGAGAGGUGAAAUUCUAUGACCCCCGCAAGACUCCCCGAAGCGAAAGCGUCUGCCUAGGACGUCUUCAUUAAUCAUGAACGAAAGUUGAAGGAUCGAAGGCGAUCAGAUACCGCCCUAGUUUUAACCGUAAACUAUACCAACCAUCAAUCCGUCGGAGCGUUCCCUUACUCCCGUUGACCGGCUUUGCUGUGAUACGUGGACAAGUGUAAGCUCGAUGGGCAGCUCCUCCACUACGGAAAACCAGAGUGUUUCGGUUCCGGGGGGAGUCUGGUUGCAAAGCUGAAACUUAAAGGAAUUGACGGAAAGGCACCACCAGGCGUGGAGCUUGCGGCUCAAUUUGACUCAACACGGGAAAUCUCACCAGACCCAAACAUCUUUAAUGACUGACAGACUGAAAGCUCUUUCUUGAUAAAGUGGAUGGUGGUGCAUGGCCGUUCUUAGUUGGUGGAGUGAUCUGUCUGGUUAAUUCCGAUAACGAACGAGACUCUCCCCUGCUAACGAACCUUGUGUUCUUGUAGACAGUGUGAUUCGAAUCAUGAAUAUAUGCUCGCGAGAGUUUAUUCUGACGAUGUCCACUGAUCCUUGCUGCGUCGUGAGUGGUACUUUUAACUGGUACUCGUUCGUGGGUUGAUCGGAACUUGUUCUGUGUCACUCGUGUUCGAUGUUGCCGUUGGAGUCCCUUUCGGCUGUGGCUUGGAGUAUUUUUCUUCUUAGAGGGAUUGUCGGCUAGUAAGUCGAAAGAAACCGAGAGCAAUAACAGGUCUGUGAUGCCCUUAGAUGUUCUGGGCUGCACGCGUGUUACAAUGCCGGGAUCAACGGGUUAUUACACAUCUCGUGUCCUACUCCGAAAGGAGCGGGUAAACCUUUGAAAUCCCUGACGCGUGAGAGAUACUUUCUAUCCGCACUAUGGCUUGCUUGGGACUGGGGAUUGCAAUUAUUCCCCACGAACGAGGAAUGCCUUGUAGUUGCAAGUCACAGAGCUUGCUGCGACUCUGUCCCUGCCCUUUGUACACACCGCCCGUCGCUACUACCGAUUGAGUGUACCAGUGAGAUGCUUGGACUGGCGAACCGAUGUCUUUUGACUCGGCGUACGACACAAAGAGACUCGAACUGGUGCACUUAG